GGAAGAAAUGGGUUGAGGGAGAACAGAAUUCAUCCUAUUUCGGUAGACUUCAGAAAUGUCACUCUACAAAUAACACUAUCCAUAAGUUAAACAUUGGUGUUAUUACAGAUGACCAAAAUUAAUCGCUAAAUACUGUAGCAAUUUUUACAGAAUUGUAUAGCUCUACGUACUGUCAGGAAUCCACAGAUAUGAUUUUUGACUCCACUGAAUAAUGUUCACUCUAUCAGUGAUAUAGAAUCUAAACAGUGUGUACCCAUCAAAGUUGAGGAGAUUAUAGUCUAUCAAACAUCCGAAGAACAAUAAAUCACCAGGUGUUGAUGGAAUUCAGCAGAAUUGUACAAAUUAUUUUCUGAACAAGUAGCUCCCUUCCUAUUUGAUGUCUUUUUAGAGUAUUAAAAACAAUGCUCUCCCUCCUACAAUGAGUCAGUGGUUAAUAACACUGAUACCUAAGCCUAAAAAAGUACUGCUCAUCGAUAACUGGCCUCCAAUUUGUAGUCUUAAUAACGACUACAAGAUAUUAGCCUUACUACUUGCAAAAAUAAUUAAAGAAGUCCUGGAUGCAAUCAUUGAUGAAACACAGUCUGGCUUAAUGAGGAACAGACAUUUCUAACAAUAUCAGACUAGUAUUAGACAUACUUGACUACUCUGACCUAAUAACUGAGGAUAGCUUCAUAUUUUUAGAUUUUCAUAAAGCAUUUGACACAGUAGAGCAUCAGUUCCUCUUCCACUCCCUUGAGUGACUUGGCUUUGGGGAUUUUUUUUCUAUAUGGCUAUUAAGACUCUAUACAAAUGGUAACAGCUCUAUCAAAUUAAAAUAUGACGCCUAGAUUUGAGUUAAAGAGCAGAAUUAGGACAACCUUGCUUAUCUCUCUGUACCUGUUUUUAUUAAUCACACACAUUCUUUAAAUAAUAGUCCUGUACAAGGUAUUUCCAUAGCUGGUAAAGAAAUUGUUAUAAGCCAGCUGGCUGAUGAUACUACACUUUUUUUUCCUGAAAGAUGCUAACCAAAUACCCAUAUCGAUAAAUUUGAUACAAUCCUUUUCCAAAGCGUCUGGUCUAUAUCUUAACAUUAAUAAAUGUGAACUCAUGCCUGUCAAAGAUUUGUGUGACUCCUUCAUAUUAUGGUAUUCCAGUAAAAUAACUUACCUUAUUAGGCAUAGCCAUUACAAAAAAUCAGAAGUCUAGAGGCUUACUAAAUUUUAACCCUCUUAUUUACAAAAAUAAAAUAAUAAUAAAUAAAAAAACAGAAGAAGCUAAAUCAAUGGCUACAGAGGGACGUAUCUUUUAAAAGGAAGUCCUAAUAACUUCAGCCUUGGUUAUCUCUAGACUAACAUAUGGUUAUCUCUAGACUAACAUAUGGCACUCUAUCUUUUAUAUCUUGACAGUAAAAUAAGCAAGGAGAUAGACCAGAUGAUUUUCUACUUUCUGUGGAGAAACCAUACCCAUUACAUUAGGAAAACUGUUGUAUUGAACACUUAUGAGAAUGGCGGGCUGAAUUUUCUGGACUUUACUACCUUAAAUAAUAGUUUAAGAUCAAUUGUAUAAAACAAUUCCUAAGAAGACACUUCUAUGUGUAAUUUUAUUCCUCAUGUCUUCUCUACAUUUGGUGGCCUUAACUUCAUGUUGGUUUGCAAUUAUAAUAUUGACAAAGUUCCAGUGAAACUUUCUGCUUUUCAUCGGCAGGUUUUCUUGUCAUGGUCGUUAAACCCCUUUCAUGCUUGAGUUUCAAAUAUCUCUAACUGUCGCACCAGCGUGAGUUUUUUUAAAAAUUUUUUAAUUUUUUCUAAAUGCACGUGAUGUUAGCAUGUUCUCUCCAUUCCAGAAUGCGAUUGAUACGUAACAGUGCAUUUAACCCGUGCUGCCCUCAAACUAAAAGCACGCAGCCCGUUUUUAUUUAUAGGCUGUUUCAACUUUAGUUUCAAAUGAAUUUCUAAGUUUUUAUUUUCUAAGAACAGUUUGAAUUUAGGUGUGUUCCACCUCAUCCAUUCUCAUAAAAAUGAUCAUUUUUACUUUUGUGGACAAUUUAAUAUUUGGGACAUUUCUGACCCAGACAAAAUUCCCAAGCACUUCCCAAUUGUUUGUGCAGUUCCAAGUCUGCAGACAUUUGCUCAUCAUUUGCACACGUGUUCACAUUUUCCAUCUGUUGUCCUCAUUGCAGUCAUUGUUUUCGUUACUAAUAAUAACUUUGGAAAUGUGUGCGUUUCUAUCAAAGUGAAUUAUUACGUUGUAAUAGUUUCUGUAUGUCGUUUCUAUUGUAGCAUACUGUAUGUAUAGAGCAUAAUAUAUUUGUGUAUAUUCUUUAUAACCGCAGACACGUGAGGUAACGUUACUCAUUUUAUAACCUUCAUGGUGUUCUAUUCAAUCGUGCUUAUGCAGCUAGCUACUUCUAUCAGCUCUGUAAAACAAUGCUAAUUGCGUCAGAGAAGUAUUAUCUUGUGAUGUAUUUUGAAGCUACAUGACCUUAUGACUCCCAAGUGGCACAGCGGUCAAAGGCACAGCACAUCAAUGCUAGAGAUGUCACUACAGACUCCCUGGUUCAAAUCCAUGCUGCGUUUCUAUCAAAGUAAGUGCCUUAUUAUGUUAGUUUCCGUAUGCCGUUUCUGCUGUAGCUCACUAUGUAUGGAGCAUAAGAUAUUUGUGUAUAUUCUUUAUAACCGCAGACACGUGAGGUAAUGUUACUCAUUUUAUAACCUUCAUGGUGUUAUAUUCAAUCGUGCUUAGGUAGCUAGCUACAUUCUUCCAUUAGCUCUGUAAAACAAUGCUAGUUGUGUCAGAAGUAUUAGCUUGUGUUGUAUUUUGAAGCUACCCUGGCCUUAUGACUCCCAAGUGGUGCAGCGGUCUAUGCCACUGCAUCUCGGUGCUAGAGGCAUCACUACAGAUAGCCUGGAUUUGAACCAGGGUGUGUCACAACUGGCUGUGAUUGGAAGUCCCAUAGGGCAGCGCACAAUUGGCCCAGCGUUGCCCGAGUCUGGCCGGUGUAGGCCAUCAUUGUAUAGCUCUGUUCUGCCCUGCCUUGACCCCUUGUGGAGCUCAAAAAAACCACAAACAGUAUUUGCCAAUAUCAUAACUGGAAUUGGACAUCUUUGGAGCUGAAGAAUAAGGACAGCUAUUGUAUGCUAACCUACACUCCUUGAAAACACAGCAAGAAAACACACAGGCCAAUAUGUAAUAGUCGUCUAUUUUAUUGCAGUAUUGGUAGUUGGUUCAACAACAACAACUUGUUGUACUAGAGGACAAAAAACGGAAUAUGCAUAACCCAUAUUUAAUAUUCAUGCAGUGACUGAACAACAACUGCAUUUCCACCCCCAUCUCUAAAGGCAUAGUAUCAUGGCAGGUCACCUGUCAAGUCACCUGUCAGGUCAGUCAGUCACUUAUCGCUGCAGAUGUGCUCAAUAAUGCUUGAGCAUGUGAUACUCCUCAAAGCAUGGUGAAAUACAUAGAGGUGUAUCACAAGCAACUAUCUUGAGCAGCAGUUUGAGGGACUUUGCAGGGAGAAUGCUGUGUAGUGAGGCGUAGGGGAUUGUCUACAGCAGGGCGACCCCCAGUGGAUGGGCGCCGAGGGGUGUGGUGCUCCUCCAGCAGUUCUCUCAUGAGCUUCUCUCUGUACUUUUGGUAGGUAAUUACUUUACCUAUGAGGAAGUGGGGAGGAUGAUGAGGCAGUGGGUAGGUGGGUGAGAUACGGUGAGAACAGUACAUCCAGUUACAAAAAUACCUUGUUCAGUAAUCAUCUCACCUGGUAGUUGGCGGUGAACUAUGCUGCCGUUGAGGACAGCAGUGUCGACCAGAUGGAAAAAAUAUCUGCUUAUACCACUUGGUCAUAGUGCAUUCCACAAAGCUGUUUAUCAUGUCUGCCUUAUCCACGGCUCCCAUUUUGAGGAGAUAGUCAAGCACACAAUCUGGUUUGAUCUUUCUCUCUCCCGUCAGGUGGUCCACCUUCCCUGUGGCCGACAUGGUUGCUGUAUGGACAGUGGAGAGGACAAGGACGUCUUGUUUGUCAUGCCACUUUACUGCCAGCUGUUGACCGUUCUCCUGGAACUCCACCUCCCCUCUCUGCAUCUUCCUGCAUCCGUAUGCCGGCAUCCCCUUCCUGUUCGACCUGACUGUGCCACAGGCCCCUGUGCUGUUGGAGAGCAGAUGCUGUGGAAGAGUGUGGGACUGCUGUACCAAUUGUCCACGUAAGUCCCUUGCCGAGAUGAGGAGCCAGCAUGGUUAUCACCACGGACCCGGACACCCCAAGCCCCUCAUAAUGUUGGAUGUCAGUGGUGGACCCUGUGUAUACUAUAAUAUCCUAGACAAAUCCUGUCUUCACGUCGCACAUGACAAAGAACUUCACUCCAAACCUGUGCCUUUUGGCGGGAAUAUAUUGACAGAACGCCAGCCUACCUUUCCAUAACGUCAGGGACUCAUCAAUUCAUAGUUCCUUUUAUGGCACAAAGACACGACCAAAUGCUGAUGUCAGGCUGAUAAGAACAUUUCUUAUUUUGUGUAACGGGUCAUUUAGGUUGGCAGUAGCAUUGUUGACGAAAUGCAGGCAUCGCAGCAGAACUAGGAAGCGGUCUUGGGAAAAGAGGUUUGCAAAGAAGGGAGUUGCAAACAUAGGAUCUGUGCUCCAGUAUUCUCUUAGGGAGUUCUUUACUAUUCCCAUGAGAAGGACUGGCACCAGGAAGGUAUACAUUUUACUAAUUGUGGUUGUCACCCAUUUAGUGAGUUUCCCCCUCACUACUGGCUCUCUUCUGUAGCUCCAAGGCAUAGCGAUUGGUCCCCUCUACUGUUUCCCACCAACUCCUCUGUCAGAAACCACUUGAAGCACUCUGCCUCAGUUGGAAAUGGCAAGGGGCGUUGCACUCCAGACUGCAAACAGCAGGGCCAGGAGGGGUGAAAUGACUGGCGGCCUUCCAGCUACCACAGAACUCCUGUACUUCAUCCACUGUCUGUCUGCCUCCAUCACCACCAGCAUCUUCAAAGGGACCUGGUACUUCGUCAGUGGACAAGGGAAAUUCAGAUUCAGGGUUCUCAAUGGCUACAAGGUUGGGGGGCAGCUCCUUACUGUCAGAUUCCUGACUUUCAGACUCAUUGUCAUAAUUUUAAAGAAUCUCCAGAAUUUCCACAUUUGUGAGUUGUCUCCUUUUCAAAGACAUUGCUAAUGCUACAGCUUAGCUCACUAGCUACAUACAUAAACAACAACACUGAAUGGCCCAGAGUGAGAUGGUACGUGGUUGACUGCCGGCACGCGCCACUUGUAUCAAUAAAUCACUAUCAGAAAAUGUUUCGUGUGGCGAUUUAUUUGUGUAUUUACUGUCUUGUUCACAUGUUUUCAAUUCGAGGUGAAAAAUCAUGCAUUCCGAUUCUUGCAUAGAUUGUAAUGGGCACAUAUGUGUAAAAUACUUUUUUGAAGGUUGUACUGAUUAUGAGCUAAGCCAAUUCCAGCUGUGUAGCCAUGUUUGUUGACAUGCAAUGCAUUCUGGGUUUCACGUAAUUGUCUGUUUGACCAAAGAUGUUAUAACAAAAUGAAGUGUUCACUCAUUUUUUUGAGGACUUACGGAAAUGAAUGGUGGGAUGUGAACGACGGUAGAUGACACACCCCUUCAACAUUCAUACUAUAAACAGACCAAACUCAUCUUGUCAUCUUCGGUUUCUGCGAGGAAAAAAUGCAUGGCUGCGCGCUGAAACUAAUCAUUGGAUUAUUUUUGAUUUCUAGAAAGUGUUUUACCUAAUUAUUUCGAUCAAUGGUGAGCUCACCCGUGAUGUGAUUAAUUAUAUAUAGUAAUUGCUAUUAGCUAAUUCAUAUUGUAGUUUGUCAGCCGAGAGUUAGAAAAUAUGACUGCUUGUGUUGGGUCGAUCUUUCCUCAGCGCUAGGGCAAAUGUAGCCUACAUUUUUCUGGUUAGGAUGAUUGUGUUAUGCUAUAGAUCUUCACAGAAGUAUAUGAACAUUGCAUCCAAAAAUAAGCUGCUUACAUUCUGGACAUUUUUAUUUAUUUCACCUUUAUUUAACCAGGUAGACAAGUUUAGAACAAGUUGUCAUGUACAAUUGCGACCUGGCCAAGAUGAUAAAGCACAACUUUGUAAGGACUGUGUUUGUGUAAAUAGUUUCUGAAAAAAGUGUGGCCAGCUCAAAUGCUUAUUGUUGCGUCAUUCGAAACUGGCCGUUCUAAAUGAGUGUUCUAAUCACAUGGGGUGUGAUCAUACGCUUCAGGGACCACUGUAGAACGAUCACACCCGUGUGACGGUACGUGUGAAAGGGUUAAUUUAUAAGCAGAAUUUUUCUCCACACAUUAUAUAUGGAACCAUCUGGAUAUAUUGUAUAAAAAGUAUUCCUUGUUUUUAGAAUAUAAGUUCUGAAAUAAUAUCCUAUUGGUGAGCCAACUGGUAAACGCAGAGGGUAUUUUACUCAGUUAUAAGGAAUUCUUAUCACUUUACAAGGUCCCUGUAACACCUAAACAUUUUGCAAUUGUCUUAGAUGCCUUUCCCUCAGGUGUUGCUUUAUUAUUCAGGAACCCUCAGAGCCUACCUUCUGUUGACCCUGUUGACUCAUCAGUAGGAAAGACCUGACCCUCAGAGCCUACCUUCUGUUGAACCUGUUGACUCAUCAGUAGGAAAGAUUUGUUUCUCUUUUGGUCCAUUCAAAAACAGAGCGAUACGAUCCUUGUUUCAGCAGGAUACCUUAUGUCAUGCCUUAUUGGAAUGGAUUUAUUGAUAAUAUCUGUUGCAAAAAUCUUUGGCUGUUGCCAUACACAUUUUAAGGAAGUUUUGUUUUUAAAAAUGUUCAUAAAUAUUAUCCUGCCAACCACUACAUGAAGUUUAAGGAAAACAUCAACUCAAAUUGCUCCUUUUGUAAUGACCACCCAGAAACAGUGUUGCAUCUUUUUUGGCAUUUUAUUCAUGUAAGAAAACUGUGGCAAGACAUCAGAUUUAUAAUUGAACACAUUCAUGAGGAUCUUGCACUAUUGUAGAGAGAUGUACUGCUUGGAUUCUUUACCUAUGAUAGAAAUAAGCUGAAACAUUUGUCAUUAAUUUCAUUAUUCUUUUGGCCAAAUUUCAUAUUCACAAAUGUACAUUUACAAGCAAAACACAUUUUCAUACCUUACAAAAAGAAAUGGAACUGUAUUUUAAGACAAUUAAAUACUCUAACAAAAAAGCUGUUAGAAUAAUAAGUAUGUCCCUUAAGGUCCUUGUGUAAUGUGAUAUUGUACCCCCUAGCCCCGUCCCUAGCCCAAUUGUCCUUUGUAUAUUAUUUAUAUA